GACAGAGGGUGCAAACGUUGUUCGGAAUUACUGGGCGUAAAGCGUGUGUAGGCGGCCGCGCAAGUCGGAUGUGAAAGCCCUGGGCUCAACCCAGGAAGUGCACCCGAUACUGCAUGGCUCGAGUACUGGAGAGGUUGGUGGAAUUCUCGGUGUAGAGGUGAAAUUCGUAGAUAUCGAGAGGAACACCGGUGGCGAAGGCGGCCAACUGGACAGAUACUGACGCUGAGACACGAAAGCGUGGGGAGCAAACAGG
rnacentral:rRNA from 1 species